AAGGCUAUACUUUCAGGGAUCAUUUCUAUAGUUGGCUACUAGAGAAGUUUCUCUGAUCAUGUAGAGUACCAGCUAGGACAAUAGG
rnacentral:snoRNA from 1 species